rnacentral:misc_RNA from 1 species
GAAAUGCGAUAAGUAAUGUGAAUUGCAGAAUUCAGUGAAUCAUCGAAUCUUUGAACGCACCUUGCGCUCCUUGGUAUUUCGAGGAGCAUGCCUGUUUGAGUGUCAUGGAAUUCUCAACUCUAUUUGCUUUUGUGAAUAGAGCUUGGAUUUGGAGGUUUAUUGCUGGUACUUGUGAUCGGCUCCUCUUGAAUGCAUUAGCUCGAACCUUUGCGGAUCAGCUAUCGGUGUGAUAAUUGUCUACGCCGUUGCAGUGAAGCAUAUCAAUGGGCUCGGCUUCCAAUCGUCCUUUACUGGACAAUGACUUUGACCUUUGACCUCAAAUCAGGUAGGAUUACCCGCUGAACUUAAGC